rnacentral:rRNA from 1 species
UACAGAGGGUGCAAGCGUUAAUCGGAAUUACUGGGCGUAAAGCGAGCGUAGGUGGCUUGAUAAGUCAGAUGUGAAAUCCCCGGGCUUAACCUGGGGACUGCAUCUGAUACUGUUAGGCUAGAGUAGGUGAGAGGAAGGUAGAAUUCCAGGUGUAGCGGUGAAAUGCGUAGAGAUCUGGAGGAAUACCGAUGGCGAAGGCAGCCUUCUGGCAUCAUACUGACACUGAGGUUCGAAAGCGUGGGUAGCAAACAGGAUUA